rnacentral:misc_RNA from 1 species
UCCGAGUUGACCCCGGCAGUCUCCCAUGAGUCCCCGGCAUAACUCGCUGGCAACUAAGGAUAAGGGUUGCGCUCGUUGCGGGACUUAACCCAACAUCUCACGACACGAGCUGACGACGGCCAUGCACCACCUGUACACCUCGGACGAACCCACCGUGUUUCCACGGCUGAACGGUGUAUGUCAAGCCCAGGUAAGGUUCUUCGCGUUGCUUCGAAUUGAGCCACAUGCUCCGCCGCUUGUGCGGGCCCCCGUCAAUUCCUUUGAGUUUUAACCUUGCGGCCGUACUCCCCAGGCGGAGAACUUAACGCGUUAGCUGCGCCACUGAAAGAUUAAAGUUCUUCCAACGGCUAGUUCUCAUCGUUUAGGGCGUGGACUAC